rnacentral:misc_RNA from 1 species
AGCAGCCGCGGUAAUUCCAGCUCCAAUAGCGUAUAUUAAAGUUGCUGCAGUUAAAAAGCUCGUAGUUGAAUUUCGGGACCAUCAUGUCGGUCGUGCCUCGGUACGUACUGGCAUUGUUGGUUUCUACCUUCUGACGAACCAUGAUGUCAUUUAUUUGGUGUCGUGGGAAAUCAGGACUGUUACUUUGAAAAAUUAGAGUGUUUAAAGCAGGCUCACGCUUGAAUACAUUAGCAUGGAAUAAUGAAAUAGGACGUUUGAUUCUAUUUUGUUGGUUUCUAGGAUCGACGUAAUGAUUAAUAGGGAUAGUUGGGGGCAUUAGUAUUCAAUUGUCAGAGGUGAAAUUCUUGGAUUUAUUGAAGACUAACUACUGCGAAAGCAUUUGCCAAGGAUGUUUUCAUUAAUCAAGAACGAAAGUUAGGGGAUCGAAGACGAUCAGAUACCGUCGUAGUCUUAACCAUAAACUAUGCCGACUAGGGAUCGGAUGAUGUUAAUUUUUAAUGACUCAUUCGGUCG